AGUCGAGAGGGUUCGGCCCUCGGCUGACGGCUCAGUAACACGUGGAUAAUCUGCCCUUAGGUGGAGGAUAAUCUCGGGAAACUGAGGAUAAUACUCCAUAGAUCUAGGAUGCUGGAAUGCAUCUAAAUUGAAAGCUCCGGCGCCUAAGGAUGAGUCUGCGGACUAUCAGGUUGUAGUCAGGGUAAAGACCUGACUAGCCUACGACGGAUACGGGUUGUGAGAGCAAUAACCCGGAGACGAUAUCUGAGACACGAUAUCGGGCCCUACGGGGCGCAGCAGGCGCGAAAACUUCACACUGUGCGAAAGCGCGAUGAGGGAAUCCCAAGUGUUUGCUCGUAAGAGUAAACUGUUUCUUUGUUUAAAACGCAGAGAGAGUAAGGGCUGGGUAAGACGGGUGCCAGCCGCCGCGGUAAUACCUGCAGCUCAAGUGGUGAUCAUUAUUAUUGGGCCUAAAACGUCCGUAGCCGGUUUAGUAAAUGCCUGGGUAAUUUGUGUAGCAUAACUAUACGACUUCCGGGUAGACUACUAAACUUGAGACCGGGAGUGGCUAGAGGUACUCCUGGGGUAGAGGUGAAAUUCUGUAAUCCUAGGGGGACCACCAGUGGCGAAGGCGUCUAGCUAGAACGGGUCUGACGGUGAGGGACGAAGCCCUGGGGCACAAACCGGAUUAGAUACCCGGGUAGUCCAGGGUGUAAACGCUGCUUGCUUG
rnacentral:rRNA from 1 species